UGAGCAACAGGCUGAGGAUACCUCAAACAUCGAGUCUGAUCCUGAGACGGGCCCAGGCAAGAGGACACGCCGGACACCAGAAUGUUUCUGAACUCGAGAGACAGACCAUGAAUCAGUAGAUGCCAAUGGUGAUGUUGAAGAUGAUGAGCUACCAACACCAAGGAAGAGAAUGAAAGAGGACUAUGUUGUGCCCAUGCCCAAUCCUCCCACUUUUGAAGGGGCAACCACUUCUUCACGCCGCUCAUCUGCCAACAGGAUCAGGCAGAGCACAUCGGGGUCACAGAGGACCAGGCAGUCGUGCUCACCAACCCCCCUGAGGCAGAGCACAUCAGGGACCAGGCAAUCACGCUCAACAAUCCCCCCGAGGCAGAACGCAUCAGGGACUAGGCAGUCUCGCUCAACAACCCCCCCGAGGCAGAGC